rnacentral:rRNA from 1 species
UACGGAGGGGGCUAGCGUUGUUCGGAAUUACUGGGCGUAAAGCGCACGUAGGCGGCUUUGUAAGUUAGAGGUGAAAGCCCAGGGCUUAACCCUGGAAUUGCCUUUAAGACUGCAUCGCUAGAAUCGUGGAGAGGUGAGUGGAAUUCCGAGUGUAGAGGUGAAAUUCGUAGAUAUUCGGAAGAACACCAGUGGCGAAGGCGGCUCACUGGACCGGUAUUGACGCUGAGGUGGCGAAAGCGUGGGGAGCAAACAGG